AACGAACGCUGGCGGCAGGCCUAACACAUGCAAGUCGAGCGAGGACUUCGGUCCUAGCGGCGGACGGGUGAUUAUCGCGUGGGCAUGUGCCCUUCUCUACGGAAUAGCCUCGGGAAACUGAGAGUGAUACCGCAUACGCACUGUGGGGGAAAGUUUUAUCGGAGAAGGAUCAGCCCGCGUUGGAUAAGGUAGUCGGUGCGGUAAUGGCCUACCAAGACGACGAUCCAUGGCUGGUUUGAGAGGAUGAUCAGCAACACUGGGACUGAGACACGGCCCAGACUCCUACGGGAGGCAGCAGUGGGGAAUCUUAGACAAUGGGGGCAACCCUGAUCUAGCCAUGCCGCGUGAGUGAUGAAGGCCUUAGGGUUGUAAAGCUCUUUCAGCUGGGAAGAUAAUGACGGUACCAGCAGAAGAAGCCCCGGCUAACUCCGUGCCAGCCGCCGCCGUAAAAC
rnacentral:rRNA from 1 species